GACGAACGCUGGCGGCGUGCCUAACACAUGCAAGUCGAACGGUCCGGCACUCAACCGACCCUCAGUCUAGCUGUAGGUGAAGUUGAGUGCCGGAUAGUGGCGGACGGGUGAGUAACGCGUGGGCAACCAACCCUGUACAGUGGGAUAACACCGGGAAACCGGUGCUAAUACCGCAUGACACCUAGAUGGUGCAUACUGUUUAGGUUAAAGGAUUUAACCGGUACAGGACGGGCCCGCGUCCCAUUAGCUGGUUGGUGAGGUAACGGCUCACCAAGGCGACGAUGGGUAGCCGACCUGAGAGGGUGACCGGCCACACUGGGACUGAGACACGGCCCAGACUCCUACGGGAGGCAGCAGUGGGGAAUAUUGCGCAAUGGACGGAAGUCUGACGCAGCGACGCCGCGUGAGCGACGAAGGCCUUCGGGUCGUAAAGCUCUGUUCUUGGGGACGAAUAAAAUGACGGUACCCAAGGAGAAAGCCCGGCUAACUACGUGCCAGCAGCCGCGGUAACUAGUC
rnacentral:rRNA from 1 species